rnacentral:misc_RNA from 1 species
UCCCCGUUACCGGGGCAGUCUGAUUAGAAAAAUUCAACUAAUCAUAAGGGUUGCGCUCGUUGAUGGACUUAACCAAACAUCUCACGACACGAGCUGACGACGGCCAUGCAACACCUGUCAUUGGGCUCCCGAAGGCACUCUCGGCUUUCACCAAAAUUCCCAAGAUGUCAAGCCCUGGUAAGGUUCUUCGCUUACCAUCGAAUUAAACAACACGCUCCACUGCUUGUGCGGCUCCCCGUCAAUUCCUUUGAGUUUUAGUCUUGCGACCGUACUCCCCAGGCGGAAUACUUAACGCGUUAGCUUCGCUACAUACCGGGUCGAUACGGCAUACAGCUAGUAUUCAUAGUUUACGGCGUGGACUAC